rnacentral:rRNA from 1 species
UACGGAGGGUGCAAGCAUUAAUCGGAUUUAUUGGGCGUAAAGGGGGCGUAGGCGGAGAUGAAAGUCAAGUGUGAAAUUACGGGGCUCAACCUCGUAGCCGCACCUGAAACUCCAUUUCUAGAGGAUGGACGGAGAAAACGGAAUUCCACAAGUAGCGGUGAAAUGCGUAGAUAUGUGGAAGAACACCUGUGGCGAAGGCGGUUUUCUAGUUUAGACCUGACGCUAAGGCCCGAAAGCGAGGGGAGCAAACAGG